rnacentral:tRNA from 1 species
GCCGGGGUGGCGAAAUUGGUAGACGCACAGGACUUAAAAUCCUGGGCCCCACAAGGGCGUGCCGGUUCGAUUCCGGCCCUCGGCACCA